rnacentral:rRNA from 1 species
CGGACGGGUGAGUAACGCGUGGGUAACCUGCCUCAUACAGGGGGAUAACAGUUAGAAAUGACUGCUAAUACUGCAUAAGACCACAGCACCGCAUGGUGCAGGGGUAAAAACUCCGGUGGUAUGAGAUGGACCCGCGUCUGAUUAGGUAGUUGGUGGGGUAACGGCCUACCAAGCCGACGAUCAGUAGCCGACCUGAGAGGGUGACCGGCCACAUUGAGACUGAGACACGGCCCAA